GAUGAACGCUGGCGGCGUGCCUAAUACAUGCAAGUCGAGCGAACGGUCGAGGAGCUUGCUCUUCUGAUGUUGUCGGCGGACGGGAGAUUAACACGUGGAUAACCUACCUAUAAGACUGGGAUAACUUCGGGAAACCGGAGCUACUACCGGAUAAUAUUUUGAACCGCAUGGUUCACAAGUGAAAGACGGUAUUGCUGUCACUUAUAGAUGGAUCCGCGCUGCAUUAGCUAGUUGGUAAGGUAGCGGAUUACCAAGGCAAGGAUGCAUAGCCGACCUGAGAGGGGGCGCGGCCACGCUGGAAUGGGGGCACGGUCCGGACUCCUAGGAGAGGCAGCAGUAGCGGACUCCCCGGGAUGGGCGAAGGGCUGACGGAGGAACGCCGCGUGAAUGAUGGAGGUCUCCGGAUCGUAAGACUCUUUUAUGAGGGAAGAACAUAUGUGUCAGUAACUGUGGAUAUCAUUAAGGUAACUGAUCAGAUAGGCACGGCCAACCACGUU
rnacentral:rRNA from 1 species